ACCGCGAUAGCUCAGCUGGUAAAGCAUCUGCCCAAUAUGCGGAAGGUCGCCGGUUCGAUUUCGGCUCGCGGUU
rnacentral:tRNA from 1 species